GCAUUAAUGGGGUAGUGGUAACCUGGGUCGUUGCCAUGCAUUAGGUAUAUGUGUGAACUCGACCCGCCGGGGGUUCGAUUCCCUCUUAAUGCA